AACCACUACACUGACCAAAACCACCUUUUUCUCUUUUGAAAUCUCUUUCAGGGGAAUAAAAAAGAAAAAAGAAAUCUCUUUCUUUCUCCUCUAAAACCUCACCUGCAAUGGCUUUCUUCUCAUUUGGGCUAUACCAUCUCCAACCAACCAAUUUAAGAAACAAUCCGUCUGCUUUCCUUCUUCCCUUAAUCUGUCUUCACUUCAUUCUCAGUUUUGUUUGGCUUUAUCUCCACUUAGAUUAGGUUCAAGAUUGCUUGGCAGUGGUCUUCUUGCAAGAGCUGAAGAUAAGGCUAGAGGGUAUUCUUCUUCUUCAACUCAGGGACAAGCUCAACAGCCCAGUAGUGCAAAACAACUUCAGGGGCUGACAACAGAAGCUGGGUCAUGUGAUCCUUUAUGUUCACUUGACGAAACAAGUUCACAAGAUUUUGCAGCCACGUACCAGCCAAAGACUGAUUUGCUAAAAGCUCUUGCAGUAUUCGCAGCAGCUGCAACUGGGGCUCCAGCGAUUAACCAUUCUUGGGUUGCAGCCAAUCAGGAUCUUGCUAUGGCAUUACUCUUUGGAAUUGGAUAUGCUGCCAUCAUUUUUGAAGAGUCUCUAGCUUUCAAUAAAAGUGGAGUAGGAUAUUGAUGGCUGUGAGCUUAUGGGUAGUUCGAAGCAUUGGGGCACCUUCGACUGAUAUAGCUGUUUCGGAGUUGACACAUGCUUCUGCAGAAGUAAGUGAGGUCGUGUUUUUCCUGCUUGGUGCCAUGACCAUCGUGGAGAUUGUUGAUGCUCAUCAAGGUUUUAGGUUGGUCACUGACAAUAUAACCACUCGAAAGCCCAAGACUCUGCUUUGAGUGGUUGUAGAUCCAAGGAACAGUAGAUCAAGAUCUGCAUCAACCCAGUCAGAGUUACAACAUUACUAUCUUGGGGUUGUAGAUCCAAGGAACAGUAGAUCAAGAUCUGCAUCAACCCAGUCAGAGUUACAUCAUUACUAUCUUGGGGUAUAUUUUGUAAAUUUCUUUAUAUAAAGUUACUUUUGGAAAUAUGGCAUGUACAUAAAGUUUUAGAGAUAAAGUUGUAUAUAGUUUGAAUUAGAUAUAUUUGAAUAUUUUAAUUUUGGUACA